rfam:Triticum aestivum genome assembly, contig: Triticum_aestivum_CS42_TGACv1_scaffold_221230_3B
AUAUUACUCCCUCCGCCCGGAAAAGCCUGUCCCAAGCUUGUCCUCAAAUGGAUGUAUCUAGCACUAACUUGGUGCUAGAUACAUCCAUUUGAGGGACAAGCUUUUUCGGAUGGAGGGAGUAUGCA